GAUGAACGCUGGCGGCGUGCCUAAUACAUGCAAGUCGAGCGAACAGACGAGGAGCUUGCUCCUCUGACGUUAGCGGCGGACGGGUGAGUAACACGUGGAUAACCUACCUAUAAGACUGGGAUAACUUCGGGAAACCGGAGCUAAUACCGGAUAAUAUAUUGAACCGCAUGGUUCAAUAGUGAAAGACGGUUUUGCUGUCACUUAUAGAUGGAUCCGCGCCGCAUUAGCUAGUUGGUAAGGUAACGGCUUACCAAGGCGACGAUGCGUAGCCGACCUGAGAGGGUGAUCGGCCACACUGGAACUGAGACACGGUCCAGACUCCUACGGGAGGCAGCAGUAGGGAAUCUUCCGCAAUGGGCGAAAGCCUUACGGAGCAACGCCGCGUGAGUGAUGAAGGUCUUCGGAUCGUAAAACUCUGUUAUUAGGGAAGAACAAAAGUGUAAGUAACUAUGCACGUCUUGACGGUACCUAAUCAGAAAGCCACGGCUAACUACGUG
rnacentral:rRNA from 1 species